rnacentral:tRNA from 1 species
GCGGAAGUGGUGGAACGGCAGACACGCAAGCCUUAGGAGCUUGUGCCCGCGAGGGCGUGAGGGUUCGAGUCCCUCCUUCCGCACCA